rnacentral:lncRNA from 1 species
UCAUUUGUACAUACAAAGUUUUAUGUACGCGCUUUCUUAUCAAAUCAUUUAUAUGUAUAAAUAAUAAUCUAAUUGUAUGUUAUUAUAUGUACGUAAUUAUAUGCAUACUUGUUAGUGUAUAUAUAUAUAUAUAUAUAUAUAUAUAUCAUUAGGCUAGUACAUUAUUUGAAAUAGAUACAUAAAUAUAUACAUGUACAGAUAGAUAUAUAACUACAUAUUGUACACGUUUUGUAAAAAAAAAAAAAAACUUGUAACAAAAAUGUAAGCACAAAUCAAUAUAAAUAAAAAAAAAAAAAAAAUUGUAUAUGAUUUUUUAUAUAAUUUAUGUCAGUUUUUUUAGAUAGAUGUUCAUGCAAGUGUACAUAAACAAGUCAUUUUUUUUUUUUUUUUUUUCUUUUUUUUUCUUUUUUUUGAAUAAAGGUUAUACAAGACACAGCUUUGUUCAUUUUAUGCAAAAGGAAUAUGUGCAAGAGGGAACAGAUGCAGUUGGGCUCAUGGGGAGCUGGAUGUUAGGCCUAUGCCUAAAUUUUACAAAGUAAUUUUUGUUCAUUUUGUUCAUUUUUUUAACAACCAUUUUAUAACUUAUAACUUGUUAUUGUAAACGAUCUCCAUUCUAAUACGUUUUUUUUUUUUUUUUUUUCAUGCAGACUAGAAUGUGUUACACGUUUUUAUCUGGUAGCUACUGUGAAGCCUCUAAAUGUACGUUCGCACACACAGAAGAAGAAUUAAGAGGUUCAGGAAAGGCUUUGAGAUUAUGUACAAAGUAUUUUUUAGAUGGUUAGUACAUUUGAAAUGUAUAUAUAUUUACAUGUGUAUAUGUUCACGGACUUGGAAAUAUUUACCUAUUGUUAUGUUCACCUUAUAAAGCAUUGUUGAUUUUUUUUUUUAUUCCAGUAUGCACACAUGUGUAAAUAUAUAUAUAUAUAUAUAUAUAUGCAGGCUACUGUAAUAAAGCUGACAAAUGUCCUAUGGCUCAUAACAUAAACCAACUAGACCCAUCAGUUAAAUUUUCAUCAACAGAAUUAAUGAGUAAGGUUUAUUCGAAUGAAGAUAAUGUAUAUUAUAAUAAUAAUCAUAAUAUUGAUGUGUCAAAGAAUGAUAAUAAGGAAAAUGAAGGUGAUGACCGUAAAAACAGUAGUAGAAGUAGUAGUACUCAUAAUAACUACAACAUACAUGGAGGACAUAGCAGCCACAGCUGUCAGAACACCCAUAACAGUCACAAUAAUAGUAAUAAUGGUGUAUUUGAAAUAACCAAUGAAUUGGAUGAUGUGAGCGUAAAAAAGCAUUUAAAGGAUUAUCACAUUAUGAACAAUUUGAAUAAUGAAAAUGAUAAAAACGAUAUUGAUGAUUCUAAAAAAAAUAGUUAUAAGAUUUAUAGAAAUUGUGAGAAAAAAAUGUAUAAAGAUUAUUUAUUAAACGAUAACCAGGCGAAUGACUACUUUGAUGAAAUAAAAAAGGGAAAUGAGUUCACAUAUUACAACAAAACCGAUGGUCGUACAAACAGUGGAGAGUCCGCUCGAAGUAAACACAUGAAAGUAAACAAUGGGUUUAUGAAAAAUGGUUACUCUAAACAUAAUGAGUAUUCUAGAACUAAUGUUAAACCAUUAACGAACGAGUUCAUAUUCAACGAAAAUGGAAUAACAAAUGAUAGAAAAGGUAUAAAAAAUAGUAAGUUAUAUUCUUAUAAUAAGAACGUUGAAAACAAUAUGCGUUUUUUAAAUAAUUAUGAAAAUUAUGAUAGCUACGAGAAUUAUGAGAAUUAUAAUAAUUAUGAUAAUAUAAAAAGUGUAAAUAUAGGAAAUGAAAAACUACUAGCAGAUGGUUAUUACAAAAAUAGUUUGAACAUUCAAGAAAAUAUGGAUUCUGUCGUUUCUGCUACUACUAAUCCUGCUUCUGCUGCUGCUGCUGCUGCUAGUGGUAAUAACAAUAGUAGUAGUAGUAGUAGUAGUAUUAGUAGCAACUGUAAUAAUAAAACUAUAACACAAGACUUGGAUCAUAAAAUAAUGGAAAUACGAAAAUAUAAUGAGAGUAUGAUUAAUCAUUCUUCUAAUAAUAAUUAUAACUUACAUUGCAAUAUGGAAAUAAAAAACGUAAAUAAGAAUGAACAAAAUUUAAAAGGAAAUCAAUAUUCGUAUAAAAAAUAUAAUAGAAAUGACAAUUUUGAUACUAUUAUGUUUGAUUCGAAUACAACUAAUUAUGAUGAACGUUUUAAAACUAAUUCAAAUAAUUAUAACGAAACUAAAUUUAUAAAUUUGAAUAAAACGAAAGAUAACUUAGAUUUAUCUGGUGACAGUAAUAUAUAUUUUGAUUAUAAGCGAGGGAUAUGUGCUGACAAAAGUAUGAGUAAUGAAAAUUGUACAUAUGACAUGGAUUGUAUAAACCAUUCUAGCAUUAACCAUAUGAAGCAUCGACACGGUAGUAGUAAUCGUAGUAGCAUGCAUACUUUGCAUACUUUACAUAACAUGCAUAACAUAAAUAACACCCACAGCAAUACUAGUCACACUCAUAGUGAUAAUAAUACUACCCACAUGCUCACUACGAAUUUUGACUUAGACAACUUAGUAUAUAGUAUAAAUAAUAUGAGCUUAAAUGAAACGAACAAAAUAAACUCAGACCAAAAUAACAAAAGUAUGUUUUACACCUUAAAUAAAUUAAACAACAAUGAACAAUUAUUAGAAUUUGAAAAAACAAUAAUAGAUGAAUUUAAAGAGGAAAAAAUAAAUACAUUUGACUCGGAGCAAUUAAAUGGUGAAUACUAUUUGCGUUAUAAUAGUAACUCAGCAUAUAAUUUAAAAAAAAUAUUUUUAAAUAAUACUAAUAGUAAUAAUAACAAUAAUAGUAACCAUAGUAACCAUAGUAAUAAUAGUAAUAAUAGUCAUAAUAUUAAUAAUAGUAAUAAUAUUAAUAAUAGUAAUAAUAGUCAUAAUAUUAAUAAUAGUAAUAAUAGUCAUAAUAGUAAUAAUAAUAAUAAUAAUAAUAUAACAUAUGAACAAGCAAACAAAUUUAGCGAAUUAAAGAAUGAAUCAUUAAUAAGUCCUAAAAAUUGUCAUAAUCAAUAUAUGAAUGACAAUAACAAUAAUAAUACUAAUGAAACGAUUAAUAAUUAUCUAUUUAAUAAUGAUUAUAAUAUUUUGAAAGUUAAUAAUUUAUAUAAUAGUAUAAAUUGUAUUAAUACAAGUGAUAGCGUGAGGGACUCUAUGAAAAAUGCAAAUAACAUUGGUGUUAGUAACAUAGAAAAUACAAACUUCUUGAGUCGACCAGAACAUGUCGUAGAUCAUAAUAAUGAUAAUGAUACCGUAUUGAAUGGUGGUAAUAUGACCAUAUUAAAAAAUAGUAUAUGUGAUUUUGAAAAAAGUAAAAAAGGAAUUAAUCAUGAUAUGAACAACACUAUUAACAUACGAAACCUUACCUUGUUUAACAACAUGAACUGUAUUAAUAAUAAAAUGAAGAUAAAAAACGACCAUAAUGAUAUGUAUAUAUAUAAUAAUAACCAAUUUAAUCAUAAUAGUAAUAGUGCCAGUAAUAAUGUAAGUAACAAUAACAGUGGAAAUAUAACUGGUUCUUGUAUAAUAGUAGGUAACCAAAACUGUAUGAAUGAUGAAAUGCAGAACGUACAAAAAAAAAUAUUGCAAAACGAAAUAAACGAAGAAAAUUGUAUUAACAGUAACAGCAAUAACGCGAGUAAUAAUAAUUAUUUGAAAUGUAACAUAAAUAAUAAUAUACAAAGAAACGUAAUUUUAAAUAAAAAAAAUUUUUUUAUAAAUAAUGACAUCCAUAUAAAUGGCACUGAAAAAUUAUUAAGUGAUAUAAAUAGUGAACUAGCUGAAGAUAAUACAUCUAAUGACGUUUUAUUAACAAGUUACACUAAUAAUAAUAAUAAUAAUAGUAGUAAUAGUAGUAAACAUAGUAGUAAUAAUAUGAAUGACACAUUUUAUAGUAACACUUGCAAAAAACCUAGUUACAAUAAUUUAUAUAAUAGCUAUGAAAAUAACAACUACAAUAAAGAGAACAACAGUAAUAAAGAAGACAGUUUCAACAACUUAGAUUUUAAAAAUAACAUGUGUAUUUUAAACAAGCAUAAGGUGAAUUUUACUAAUAAUAUGGAUCCGAAUAGAAGAAGAAGUGAUAAUAGAAGUGAUAAUAGUACUCAAAAUAAAUUAAACAAUUUAGAAACAACCUUAGUAAACUUGCAAAAUAUAGAAUCUUAUAUGAUGCAUGCUUCGUAUAAUAAUGGUACUGUUACUAAUGGUGUUAAUAACAAUGCAGGAAAUAACAACACCAAUGUUGAAAAAUUAUUUUUAAAUAAAAAAUAUAUUGAAAAACUAAACAGUAUAUGUAAGAAUGACAAAGAAAUGAACAACAUGAAUGAAAUAAGUGUGCUGAAUGGUGCUUGUGGCAAAAAGAAAAUGAAUUCUAAUAAUUUUAAUAAUUUUAAUAAUUUUAAUGAAAAAAUUAAUGCGUCGUUAGGUAUGUAUAUAUCGGGAGCUAAUAGUGUAAACGGGAGUGCAAACGGAAAUGCAAACGGAAAUGCAAACGGAAAUGCAAACGGAAAUGCAAACGGAAACACAGACGCAAACACAGACGCAAACCCAGACGCAAACACAGACGCAAACACAGACGCAAACACAAACCCAGCCUCCAAUACUGCUAACAAUACUGCUAACAAUGACAAUGAUGGUUUUUAUUUAACUGAUUAUAAUAACGUAAAUCCAUCUCAGAUAAGCAAGUACAAUUAUGUUAAUAAUUUUAUUGAAAAUGAUAAGAUUUGUUAUGCAGGAAAUGAUUUAGACCUAUAUGAAGUGUCAUAUAAAAAUGAUGAUAAUUUUGCAAACUGUAUUUAUAACAAUAAAAAUUUAGUUGCUAAUACAAAAAAAAAUAAAAAGAAUACUAUAAACUUAGAUGAAAUUAACAAUACUGGCACAAGUGGUUCUAGUGUAAGUGAUACCAGUAUAAAUGGCAAUACAACAACAACAACAGCAACUACUACUACUAAUACUACUAAUACUAAUACUACUAAUAUUACUACUAAUACUAUUACUAAUAAUACUACUACUGCUGAAAGUACUAAUCAUACCAAUGGUUUACAUUUAAAUAACAAAAGUAGUAAACACCAGAUGAAUAGCUAUAACCCCUUGACUUAUAGUUUUAGUGGUCUUUGUGAAUGUUUAGGUAAAACAGAUGAAGCAAAAA